AGCUGACAUUCAGGAUUUGUGCACCCGUGAAAUGUCUAAGCUGCCGAAGGAGUACAGCUGGCCCGAUAAGAAGUUAAAGAUCUCCGUCCUGCCUGACACGGCGUUUGACAGCCCACUGCAAUAAGACUGGGAGCUCACUGUCCCCGAUUACAAACCCACAUCUCCAGAAAGGAGACCAACUCUUUUGCCAGACGCAUGUGCCUAUAGACGGCUGAAGGAAACAGACUUUCAGAUGCUUCCCCCCUUCCCAGAGAGCAUUGUAAAUGUACAACAUUUUGUACAUUUUGUCCGUUAUACCACUUGUCUUUGUAUUGGUCUACCUAUUUACUCAUAAGGAAGCUUAAAAAAAUAGCGAUUGUUUUUCUGGUUUGUUUCAAAAGACACAUUACAUUUCUUAUUCUGCAGCACUAGACAAUGUGCAAGCACUGGUGCCUUUAUUCACCUUUGAAUGGACUGAAGUGUCAUUUUGAGAAAGUCCGCUCUUCUAAAUCCUGUUUGUAAUGUGAAGGAAAGCAUAUUAAGGAAAAGGCCUUUUUUACCAUGUUUAUCUAAAACAUUCUGUUAUGUCUGAGUAUCUGGUUUUACUCAAUUUAAAUAUAUAAGAUACAGUAGUGUCUAUUUAAGGUUGAUGAUCUUAAGGUCUUAAUUAAGUUGUAGUCAUAAGUGGUUAGUCAGUUCACCUACACAAUACCAAAGCCUGCACAAUAUGGGUGUUUUUAAACUGUCUUAUGUAAAGUUGAGAAUCAUAAAUUAGUUCCCUGAUCUUGGUUUUAUUUUAUUGUUAUUUUUAACUAUUUUACUUUUCCUUUGACUUUAUGAUUGCAUUCCAUGUCUUUAUAGGGAAGCAAACAAACUGGUUCCUGAAUGGCAAUCAAUUUUCUAGAAUGUGCUUUUGUGAUUUUUAAAUUUUGGGAAAUGUGCUCAAUAAUAUAGGUCAAAGGUGUAAAAAAAGAACCUUUAUUUGUGCUUUUUAAAAGAGGAAUUUAAUUAGAGUGUACUGGUGUUUUUUAUAUUCUGGAGAAUCACUACACUGCCUGUGGUUUUGUUACCCUUAAGUGCAUUAAACUUACAGAAAAUCGG